UUGCACAAUGGGCGCAAGCCUGAUGCAGCCAUGCCGCGUGUAUGAAGAAGGCCUUCGGGUUGUAAAGUACUUUCAGCGGGGAGGAAGGGAGUAAAGUUAAUACCUUUGCUCAUUGACGUUACCCGCAGAAGAAGCACCGGCUAACUCCGUGCCAGCAGCCGCGGUAAUACGGAGGGUGCAAGCGUUAAUCGGAAUUACUGGGCGUAAAGCGCACGCAGGCGGUUUGUUAAGUCAGAUGUGAAAUCCCCGGGCUCAACCUGGGAACUGCAUCUGAUACUGGCAAGCUUGAGUCUCGUAGGGGGGGGUAGAAUUCCAGGUGUAGCGGUGAAAUGCGUAGAGAUCUGGAGGAAUACCGGUGGCGAAGGCGGCCCCCUGGACGAAGACUGACGCUCAGGUGCGAAAGCGUGGGGAGCAAACAGGAUUAGAUACCCUGAUAGUCCACGCCGUAAACGAUGUCGACUUGGAGGUUGUGCCCUUGAGGCGUGGCUUCCGGAGCUAACGCGUUAAGUCGACCGCCUGGGGAGUACGGCCGCACGGUUAAAACUCAAAGGAAUUGACGG
rnacentral:rRNA from 1 species